rnacentral:RNase_P_RNA from 1 species
GUGAGCUGGGUAGACAGCUGCCCCGAAAGGGAGGAAGCUCUGUCCACCAAUAAUGUGCCAUCUCACGAGAGAUUGAGGCGAGAGUUUCAGAUAGUUGUGUUGGAGCGUUAGAUGUUCCUUACCAACUCUGUCGGCACGGUGCAAGACCAAGUAGGCCGUGAUGAUGAAAGAGCGGCGGGUAGGUCGCUAAGAUAAAUGCUGUCGAGCGGUACAGAUGAAAACUCGAUUUGAGUUCGAUCCGCUUCACAUAAGACAGGCUAUGCCCAGCACAC